rnacentral:lncRNA from 10 species
AUUGAAAAGAAUUCCUGGAGUUCUUUGGAGGACUAUUUCAAACAGCUUGAAUCAGAUUUGUUAAUUGAAGAAUCUGUAUUAAAUCAGGCCAUUGAAGACCCUGGAAAACUUACUGGCCUACGAAGGAGAAGGCGAACCUUCAACCGAACAGCAGAAACAGUUCCUAAACUUUCCUCUCAGCAUUCCUCUGGAGAUGUGGGCUUAGGUGCCAAAGGGGAUAUUACAGGUAGUUGUCACCUGGUAAACAGAGAUGAAAGAUUUUUACUUUAGUUAUAUGAAGCAGAAUGUGCCUCUUGUUUGUAAGAAUAUGUCAGGAGGUCUCCUUUUCUUCCCUCCUUUUUGGAUAAUGUUUAUCAAACUCUGAUUUCCUUUAAGAUAACUAAUAUAUAAGUAUAAAGGAGCAGUUGCAAAAUGGCAAGCAUAUAACCAAUAUAUUUUAUUUGGCCCAUGUGUCAUUUUAAGAAUUGGACAUUAAACUUUUUUUAAAAUUUUAUUUAUUUUUUCUAGAUAGGGUCUCGUUCUGUUGCCCAUGCUGUAAGUGGCACAAUCAUGGCUCAGUGUAACCUCGGGCUCCUGGGCUCAAGUGAGCCUCCUGCCUCAGCCUCCUGAGUAGCUGAGAUUACAGGUGUGCACCACCACACCUGGCUAAAAUUGGACCUUUUUAUAUAAAAACUCAGAUCUGACAGUCCAGCACUGAAAUCCCUUCA